rnacentral:rRNA from 1 species
GACGAACGCUGGCGGCGUGCUUAACACAUGCAAGUCGAACGGAAAGGCCCUGCUUUUGUGGGGUGCUCGAGUGGCGAACGGAUGAGUAACACGUGAGUAACCUGACCAUGACUUUGGGAUAACUCUAGGAAACUGGGGCUAAUACCGGAUAGGAGCUCAUGCUGCCUGGUGGGGGUUGGAAAGUUUCGGCGGUUGGGGAUGGACGCGCGGCUUAUAAGCUUGUUGGUGGGGUCGUGGCUUACCAAGGCUUUGACGGGUAGCCGGCCUGAGAGGGUGACAGGCCACAUUGGGACUGAGGUACGGCGCAGACGCCUACGGGAGGCAGCAGUGGUGAAUAUUGCACAAUGGGCGGAAGCCUGAUGCAGCAACGCCGCGGGCGGGAUGACGGCCUUCGGGUUGUAGACCACUUUCGCCUGUGACGAAGCGUGAGUGACGGUAAUUGGUAAAGAAGCACCGGCUAACUACGUG